GGGCCUCGCGCGCAGGCGCCGAAGCGUCUCAGAGGAAGGGGUUGGUGCCAGCCUGCGGGGGCAGCGGCCCCGCCGGGCCGGACGUGGGCAGCAGCGGCUGAGGCAGGCUCGCGGGCGGCGGGGCGAAGGCUCCGGCUUGCGGGAAGACGCUGACCGAGGCGGGGAGGGUCGCUCCGACCGGCACGCUACUGAGCGGGAGGGGCAGGGAGGCGCUGUAGGUCAUGGAGCCCAAGGGCGCCCCGACGGGUCCCCCCGGCGGCAGGCCCAGCGCGGGCGAGCCGGUGCGCAUCUGGUUCAGGGUCGGCCUGCCUUGCUCGCCCGAGCCAAACGGGGCUGCUGGACUUUCCCGUGGCCAGGGCCUGGCUGUCCUUGGGCUCUGUGGAUUCUAGAGGUUUGGCAAAUGGAUCGAAGGAUGAGGCACCACCUAGAGCUAGCCAGGAGAAAGAGGGAAAUGGAGUGAACUAGAAGAAAGGCAUCUUUUAAUGACCCCUCACCUCUGAUCAGCACUUCCCAUUUAUAAAACGUUUCCUCAUCCAUGAAGUGUCCCAUUUCAUAACAUCGCUGUGAGGCUCUCUGUCCCGCCGACGUCGGCCAGCAGGUUCUGCGCCAUUGGUCAUUGGAGAGUCAUCGUCCUUCCAGGACCUGGCCCCCUGCAGAAGGGACAGCCACCCUCUGCAGUCUCAGGUCUCACAUAUCUUUUUCUUCUGGGUACCCUGAGAACGUCUCUAGCCCACCCAUGCAAGAGGCAUAAGUGUUUCCUGCCUGGUCGCCUGGAUCCACAGAGAUAAUGGCAAAGAUGAUGAGGCAUCCUGUGCAGACCCAGGUCUCACCUUUUCAGCCUCCUCACGGCUCAUGGCCAGGGCCAGCUGCAGCUGCAGUUCUUCUUCUCCGGAUGUCUGGGGCCGGGCCUGCUCCAGGUCUGAGGCAUAGCGCGGGGACGAGGAUGCAGCUGCAACAAGUGGGGUUCCCGUGAGCACACCGGUCCCCACGGUCCCCACACUCCUCUGCCUGCCAGGAAGCUGGGGCUCACAGAGAGGGAGCCAAAGGAGACUGGCUAGUCAGGCUCCAGGGAGCCAGGCAGUGCACUGGGCACCCCUUGUGGAUUUUCCACUUCACUGCUAAGGCAGAUGCCAGGGUCACCUUGGCAGGGAGUAGACAGUGCAGGGGGUGCCUGGCCACUUAGGGCCCUAAGUCAGAACCUAAUGCAGGUCCCUGACAUCAGCUCUUGAACCCUUCCAAUGGGACCCUAGCCUGCUUGGGGCCACGGGGAUUAAGAGGAAGGGAUCUGCCAAUCAAAGAAAAUCACAGCCUCGGAGCCCCAAGCAGGCCAUCAUGGGCUUUAUGGAGGAGGGCCGUUCUGGUAUUCCUAAGGUCACAAAGGCCUCCACCACUGUGGCAAGCCAUCAGGAAGGAUGUUUCAUCAUCAGCCACCCUUGUUUUCAAGGACAAUACUCUUGAGUGGUGGGGAUUUACAGAAUGUCAGGUGUCUGAGUAAAAGGGUCAAGGGCAUUCUCGGGCCUUGUCUCAUUCAGUUCUCAGAUCAAACAAUAGAGGGAGGUAAGUGUACCUCUGUUUUACAAAGAGCUGGUUGCCCAAGCCACGCAGCUUGGAAGGAACAGAAUGAAUGGUAUGCAACUCCAGAGGCUGCAUUUCGACCUCCAUGCCGCCCUCUCAACAGCUAACUAAUAACAAGGAUAAGCAAUUGAUAAUGUCA